rnacentral:lncRNA from 1 species
UAAUCAGAUUUAGUCAUAUCAUUCCCAAUCUGGGUCAAACUGAAUCUAAUUCAAUUAGAUUUAUUCCAAAGCUCUUUACUCAAUCAAAUUGAAUCAAUUAGUAAUCUAAUUACUAAUUAAUUCUCCAUAAAUGAUAGAGUUCCAGUCUCAGUGGGACUCUCCCACAGAGUCCUAGUUCAAGUAGGACUCUUCACCAGAGUCACAAUCCAACUGGACUCUUCAGCCAUC